rnacentral:ncRNA from 1 species
CGUGCGUCGUGCUGAUUCCCCCCAAUCGCUCGGCGCACGUGGCGGCACCGGUUCCCCCCAACCGGUGCCGCCCCUC